UCCCUAUUACUAGAGCAGUCUGAAUAGAAAAAUACAACUAUUCACAAGGGUUGCGCUCGUUGAUGGACUUAACCAAACAUCUCACGACACGAGCUGACGACGGCCAUGCAACACCUGUCACUUGGUUCCAAAAGGCACACUCUACUUUCGUAGUGCUUCCAAGGAUGUCAAGUCCUGGUAAGGUUCUUCGUUUAUCAUCGAAUUAAAGAACACGAUCCACCGCUUGUGCUGAUCCCCGUCAAUUCCUUUAUGUUUUAGUCUUGCGACCGUACUCCACAGGCGGGAUGCUUAACGCGUUAGCUUCGCUACUGAAGGGGUCGAUACCUCCAACAGCUAGCAUCCAUAGUUUACGGCGUGGACUAC
rnacentral:misc_RNA from 1 species